rnacentral:rRNA from 1 species
GGGACACGUGGUAUCCUGUCUGAAUAUGGGGGGACCAUCCUCCAAGGCUAAAUACUCCUGACUGACCGAUAGUGAACCAGUACCGUGAGGGAAAGGCGAAAAGAACCCCGGCGAGGGGAGUGAAAAAGAACCUGAAACCGUGUACGUACAAGCAGUGGGAGCCUCUUUUAUGGGGUGACUGCGUACCUUUUGUAUAAUGGGUCAGCGACUUAUAUUCUGUAGCAAGGUUAACCGAAUAGGGGAGCCGAAGGGAAACCGAGUCUUAACUGGGCGUUAAGUUGCAGGGUAUAGACCCGAAACCCGGUGAUCUAGCCAUGGGCAGGUUGAAGGUUGGGUAACACUAACUGGAGGACCGAACCGACUAAUGUUGAAAAAUUAGCGGAUGACUUGUGGCUGGGGGUGAAAGGCCAAUCAAACCGGGAGAUAGCUGGUUCUCCCCGAAAGCUAUUUAGG